UACUCGUUCAUACGGUGCGUCGAAAGCGAUACGAAAGGCUGGGAAUCAUGUGUUAAAAACUCUGGACGUGAGAAAGCAAUCAAU
rnacentral:sRNA from 1 species